rnacentral:tRNA from 1 species
CGCGGUGUGGACGAAGGGCAAGUCGCCAGACUUUGCGUCUGGAGAUGCAGGUUCGAGUCCUGCCGCCGCAACCA